GUCAUGUGGGGCACGUCUUACAGACGUGGGCCGCGCGGCCAGGAGCAGCCGACGGCCGCAUCAGGCAAGGCGCAGGCUGGACAGGAGUCCUGAUCCGGGCACAUUAGUUCCUAGACUAGUUUAUUUCGUAUAGGUUUCUAGUUUGUUAUUAGCCCAUGGGGCCUUUAUAUAUCAGACAGUUAGCACCCUUUAGGGAUAAGCAAUAAAGUUAUUUCCUUCUAUCUUCCCCUCCCGCAUCAUAGAGCAGCCAGGCAAAAACCCUAGCGCUCCUAUCCACCGCGACUACGAACUACGUAGUCGAGGUCCUGCUGUCUUGGGCACCGAGGCCCUUGACAACUUGGUAUCAGGUUCCAGGCGAUCCUCCUCCUCGUCCACGCUCCAUCCGCCGGCCGCUUUCCCCCCUGUGUCCGCGCCCAGCUCCCCGACAUCGCCACAAUCCGCUGCCGCCUCGGUCACUUCCGGCAUGGCAGAACCGACCACCGCGGAUCUGGCUAAGAUGAUCGAGGCCUUGACGGCCACGGUGAUGUCCCUGCAGUCGUCCGUCACCGCACUCCAGAAGGACAAGUCCUCCUCUUCAUCCAGCGCUGCCGCCGCCCAUGAUGGGCAGCACCACAAUGAUCGGCCGCCCAGGUUCCAGAAGAUGGACUUCCCCAAGUUCGACGGCAAGUCUGAUCCGCUCGCCUUCAUCAACAGAUGCGAGUCCUUCUUCCAUCAACAACGAAUCGCCGAGGAGGAGAAGGUGUGGAUGGCGUCCUACAAUCUCGAGGGUCCUGCCCAACUAUGGUAUAUGCAGGUCCAGCGCGACGAGGGCACACCUCCGUGGCGCCGCUUCUCCGAGCUGCUCAAUCUCCGCUUCGGGCCACCGCUGCGCGCUAACCCGCUGGGCGAACUAAUGGCGUGCAAACGCACGACGUCCGUCGUCGACUUCCAGGAGCGGUUUGAGGCACUCCUUCCCCGGGCAGGCACCUUAUCCGAGACACAGAAAGUGCAGAUCUUCACCGCGGGACUCCAGCCACCCCUCAGCCUCGACGUGGAGAUCCAUAACCCACAGUCCCUCGCCGUCGCCAUGAGCCUCGCCCGCAAAUUGGAGCUGCGCGACCAGUGCGCGCUUUCCGCCCCGCCGCCGGUGCGUUUUCCACAGAAGGGCAUCCUGCCGACACCAGGACCACGCCUCGCGCCCCCCGCUCCGGCCCCACCAGCCGCACCUCAGCAGGGCCACAAUCUGCCGGACGGACGCCCAAUCAAGCGUCUCUCCCAGACAGAGAUGGAGGAACGCCGUCGCCUGGGCCUUUGCUUCAACUGUAACGAGAAGUUUGGCAGGGGCCACAACCGCGUGUGCCAGCGCAUCUUUCUCCUCGACUUAGCGCCGGACGACGACGACGACGACGCGGCCUCCGCCACUGAUGAUGCAUCGCGGGCCGACCCUCAAAUCUCGCUCCACGCGAUCGCCGGCGUGCGCACGAGUGAAACCAUGCAGAUGCAGAUUACUCUCGGAGGUGUCUCCCUCCUCGCCCUGAUCGAUUCAGGCUCCACCCACAACUUCAUCGCCGAAGAGGCGGCCGCUCGUGCUACGUUACCGCCCCCCACCACAGAGAAGAUGCGCGUCACGGUGGCCAACGGCGAGCGCGUUCCGUGCCAGGGCGCGUACCGCGUCGUGCCCUUCCGCAUCGGCCACGAGGAGUUCGCGGAGGAUUUCCUCGCCUUGCCGCUCGCGGGCUACGACAUCGUCCUGGGCACGCAGUGGCUGGCGUCGCUCGGACCGAUCCUGUGGGAUUUCCGAGCCCUCUCCAUGACAUUCUGGCGACGGGGCCAUCGGGUGUGCUGGCACGGCAUUGCAGGACCGGACGGGCCAGCCCUAAAAUCAUGCAGCGGCCGCGACUUCCUGGACGCCAUCAUCACCGAGUUCGACGGCAUCUUCGCCGACCCCUCCGGCGUGCCACCGCCCCGCAGCCGCGAUCACGGCAUCACCCUGCUACCUGGUUCCGCCCCGGUGGCCGUCCGUCCGUAUCGAUACCCGGCCGCGCACAAGGACGAGCUGGAGCGUCAGUGCGCCGCCAUGCUCGCCCAAGGUAUCAUCCGUGCGAGUUGUUCCGCAUUCUCGUCCCCGGUACUGCUAGUCCGCAAGGCCGACGGGUCCUGGCGCUUCUGCAUCGAUUAUCGCGCCCUGAACGCCAUUACUGUCAAGAAUGCGUUCCCGAUUCCGGUGGUGGACGAACUCCUCGACGAGCUACGGCACGCUCGUUUCUUCACCAAGCUCGAUUUACGUUCCGGCUACCACCAGGUGCGGAUGCGUGCGGAGGACAUCCCGAAGACAGCUUUCCGUACUCAUGACGGCCUCUACGAGUUUCUGGUGAUGCCGUUCGGACUCUGCAACGCGCCGGCCACGUUCCAGGCCCUCAUGAAUGAUCUGCUGCGGCCAUACCUGCGCCGUUUUGUUCUCGUCUUCUUUGACGACAUCCUCAUUUUCAGCGAGACAUGGGCUGACCAUCUCCGACAUGUGCGCACCGUCUUCACGGUCCUGCACCAGCACCGGCUCUUUGUCAAGCGCUCCAAAUGCGCGUUCGCCGUUGAAUCAAUCGCAUACCUGGGUCACACCAUCUCCGCUGCAGGCGUGGCCAUGGAUCCGGAAAAGGUGCAGGCAGUGGCGGACUGGCCGCAACCACGCUCGGCGCGCGCGGUUCGGGGCUUUCUCGGCCUUGCGGGGUACUACCGCAAGUUUGUCAAGGACUUUGGCGUGGUUGCCGCGCCCCUGACGGCCCUCCUUCGCAAGGAUGGUUUCUCUUGGUCGCCGGAGGCGGCAGCAGCUUUUACCACCCUCAAGACGGCAAUCACCACGGCUCCCGUCCUCGCGUUACCGGAUUUUACACGGCCGUUCAUCGUCGAGUGUGACGCAUCGACGUACGGUUUCGGGGCCGUCCUUCUUCAGGACCACCACCCGGUGGCUUUCUUUAGCCGGCCAGCCGCGCCACGUCACCGUUCCCUGGCAGCGUAUGAACGGGAACUCAUCGGCCUGGUGCUCGCGAUUCGCCAUUGGAGGCCGUACCUAUGGGGGCGUCAGUUUGUGGUAAAAACGGAUCAUUACAGCCUCAAAUUUCUGCUUGACCAGCGUUUGGCCACCAUCCCGCAGCAUCAUUGGGUUGGCAAACUCCUGGGAUUCGACUUUACGGUGGAGUACAAGGCAGGUAGUACCAACACGGUGGCGGAUGCACUUUCCCGCCGUGACACGGAGGAGACGCCGCUCAUGGCGGUCUCAGGGCCUCGUUUCGACUUCAUCGAUCGCCUCCGGCAAGCGACAUCCACUGAUCCGGCGCUCGUCGCACUGCGGGAGGAUAUCACGGCAGGUGCGCGGCAACAGCCUUGGGCGCUCUCCGACGGCCUCGUUACUUUCAACGGCCGCCUCUACAUUCCGCCGUCAUCCCCGCUACUCCAGGAGAUUCUCAGUGCCGUGCACGAUGAUGGGCAUGAAGGCGUCCUGCGCACAUUGCAUCGUCUCCGCCGCGAUUUCCACGCACCUAACCUUCGCAAGACGGUGCAGGAGUACAUCCGCACUUGCGGUACUUGCCAGCGGUACAAGUCCGAGCACUUGCACCCCGCUGGGCUGCUACUGCCGCUGCCGGUACCCACGGGCGUGUGGACUGACAUCGGCAUCGACUUCGUGGAAGCGCUUCCUCGAGUAGGCGGGAAGUCUGUCAUCCUCACCGUGGUGGAUCGCUUCAGCAAGUAUUGCCAUUUUGUGGCGUUAGCCCACCCAUACACGGCAGAGUCAGUGGCACAGGUGUUCUUCGCUGAGGUUGUUCGUCUCCAUGGCGUGCCGCAGUCCAUGGUCUCUGACCGCGACCCCGUCUUCACCUCCGCUUUUUGGCGAGAGCUCAUGCGCCUCACGGGGACAAAGCUGCACAUGACGUCAGCAUUUCACCCGCAGUCGGAUGGUCAAACGGAGGCUGCUAACAAGAUCAUUGUGAUGUAUUUACGGUGUCUUACCGGGGAUCGUCCCAAGCAGUGGCUCCGGUGGCUUCCCUGGGCUGAGUACAUAUACAACACCGCCUACCAGACAGCAACCCAAGAGACUCCGUUCAAGCUUGUGUAUGGCCGUGACCCUCCCACUAUUCGCUCUUACGAGCCCGGCGACACACGGGUGGCUGCAGUGGCCAGGAGCAUGGCUGAGCGCGACGAACUUAUCGAGGACGUCCGCUAUCGUCUACAACAGGCACAGGCGGUCUAUAAGUCCUACUACGACAGACGUCAUCGGGACAUUCGGCAUGAGGUGGGCGAUUGGGUUUGGCUUCGCCUUCGACAGCGCGUCGCGUCCUCUCUCAACUUGCCAACCAGGGGCAAGCUCAAGCCACGAUUCUAUGGGCCGUACCGCAUUUCAGAAGUGAUCAACGACGUGGCAUACCGUCUUGAGCUUCCGGCACGCUCGCGCCUCCAUGACGUGUUCCACGUGGGUCUCCUCAAGAAGUUCUUCGGCAUUCCUCCAACUACACCGCCGGGAUUGCCUUCGAUCCACAACGGGGCGGCUGUUCCAGAACCAGAGCGCGUGACUCGUGCGCGCCUAGCACGCGGCGUUCGCCAGCUACUCGUCCACUGGAAGGGUGAAGCAGCUUCGUCAGCUACAUGGGAGGAUCUUGACAGUUUCGUCGAGCGCUACCCCGCUUUUCAGCUCGAGGACGAGCUGCUCGUCGAGGAGGGGAGAGAUGUCAUGUGGGGCACGUCUUACAGACGUGGGCCGCGCGGCCAGGAGCAGCCGACGGCCGCAUCAGGCAAGGCGCAGGCUGGACAGGAGUCCUGAUCCGGGCACAUUAGUUCCUAGACUAGUUUAUUUCGUAUAGGUUUCUAGUUUGUUAUUAGCCCAUGGGGCCUUUAUAUAUCAGACAGUUAGCACCCUUUAGGGAUAAGCAAUAAAGUUAUUUCCUUCUAUCUUCCCCUCCCGCAUCAUAGAGCAGCCAGGCAAAAACCCUAGCGCUCCUAUCCACCGCGACUACGAACUACGUAGUCGAGGUCCUGCUGUCUUGGGCACCGAGGCCCUUG
rnacentral:lncRNA from 1 species